AGUGGACGCUGGCGGUAGGCCUAACACAUGCAAGUCGAACGGCAGCACAGUAAGAGCUUGCUCUUACGGGUGGCGAGUGGCGGACGGGUGAGGAAUACAUCGGAAUCUACUUUUUCGUGGGGGAUAACGUAGGAAAACUUACGCUAAUACCGCAUACGACCUACGGGUGAAAGCAGGGGAUCUUCGGACCUUGCGCGAUUGAAUGAGCCGAUGUCGGAUUAGCUAGUUGGCGGGGUAAAGGCCCACCAAGGCGACGAUCCGUAGCUGGUCUGAGAGGAUGAUCAGCCACACUGGAACUGAGACACGGUCCAGACUCCUACGGGAGGCAGCAGUGGGGAAUAUUGGACAAUGGGCGCAAGCCUGAUCCAGCCAUACCGCGUGGGUGAAGAAGGCCUUCGGGUUGUAAAGCCCUUUUGUUGGGAAAGAAAAGCAGCAGGUUAAUACCCCGCUGUUCUGACGGUACCCAAAGAAUAAGCACCGGCUAACUUCGUG
rnacentral:rRNA from 1 species